GCUCAGGUGAAAAGUGCCAAAGGAUUUCACACAAACACGGGCAGAGAGUCCCCAAAAGGCUGCGAAGGGAUUUCCAGAGGGAUCCUGGGCCAGCUUUUAUGGGAAAGGGAGCCCAGCUCCCAGUGAAACCCUGGACUCUCUGGCAGAUUCCAGAGGGCUUCAAGCACAGGAAUUCUCUCCAAAGGGGAAGUGACACAUUUCAAUUCCCUCCUUACCAGCUCAAUGGAGGUGCUGAAGCAUUUUUAUCCCAUCUCCAGCUCUUUACCAUAUGAUUUAUUCAAGGAAAAGCCUCAGUGAGGCUUCACCUGCC